rnacentral:lncRNA from 1 species
GAAGCAUAGAAGAAAUUUCACACAACUCGGCUACAGCCACUGCCAUGGGAUGUGACCAGGGCAUGGUGCUUCUGCAGAGCUCAGAUUCCCUCUCAUUUUGAAAACGUUUUCUCUAUUUUCUGUGUUCCUGAAAACAAAAGUUGCUGGAGAAGUUAAGUACUUUGGUUACACGUACAGCCUGUCGUGCAUCCCAGUCCCCAUUUCAACUCAACCUCCAGUGACCAUGAUACAACAAUUAGAUCCAUUAUCUGCAAGCGGACACAAGGUAGGAGGGCAGGAAGUUGAUAUGAGUAGCUCGUUGGGUGAGUGUUUUUUAGAGAGAGACAGUUCAAGAUUGAGUCUACUGAAAAAAAUGUUGCCUCAAUGUCACUGACUGUGAAAUAGUGCAAAAAUAAUGGUCUGUUGUGUUUGAAAUCUGGAUCACACUGUUCCUUCUCUUCAGGUCUAGGUUUUUAGAAGUGACUAGAAAGAAGGAUUAAUGAGAGGUGUUGAUGAGUCCUGCAGGUACAGUCUUUUUAGAAAGUUCUGUGGAUCUUCUCUCCAAAAUCCAUUUGGAAUGCUUCAGGUAGAAGAAAGGAAAACUUGUUGUCUCUUGAAAAUCUUGGCUCAAGGAUUCAUCAGGAAAAUACUGUCAGAGCAGAGACCACAUGCUCCUUGGAUACCUGGCUGAUGCAGAGUCUGCAUUUCCACAUCAGGACACUGUCAACCAAUGUCUCACUCCUACCCGUUGAGUUCAAGGACAGCUUGCAAGACUGGGGUUCAUCUCACAGGCUCCUAUAUGAGGUACAUGUGACCCCAGAUUGAGUAACCAGUCAUUGUACUAGGCAAUCUGACUCUUCAAAAGGCAAUGGGAAGCUUGGAGCUGAAAUCCACAAAACAUAAGUAAACAAAUAUCAUUGGUAUUAUACAUAUUCUGUUUUUUUCUCUGUUCUCAGUAUCACCCAGUUCUGUUCAGUUAGCUGAUAUCAGAGCAAAUAUCAGAAUUUAUUCUGUUUCUGACUGCUCAACUUGAAAAAAGUGCUUGAGAAAGAGUCUGUAUUUCUAGCAGAGAGAACUUGAAUUUUUAUUUAUUUCCCUGGUAGUUUUCAUUUAUAUACUCAUCCCCUCUGAGUAUCUUCAGUAUAUUGAUAUGAGGCAAAUUUAAAAUUAAACUAGUAGAAAGGGGAAAAAAAAUCUCUUGCAUCAUCUUCACUGUGGGCCUCUGCCUUAAUUAUGAGAUAUUUCAAAGCCUUUUUGCGCAUUGACUGGUUCUAUACAGAAACUAAGUUAGACCCAAACCAAUAGCUGGAAGAAAUGAGUAUGCUAUAGACAACAUGUGCAUCCCCAGGCUGCCAAUGCUAAAUUUGGUCUUAAGUUACUUGAGGAUGAAGGUGUCUCCACAGCUGGUUGCCUCUAGCCCACUUACCUACCAGCACAGCUCCCCCUAGGCAGGCAGAAGCUGGGGCCACUUGUGAAGCUGCUGAAGACAGCUCUUGGUUUACCAAGAUGGUACGUGUCCAUGGACGUACUGUGUAGUCCUUUACAG